GGCCUCACCGAGCCGACCGGGCCCCUCGGCCGCGGCAGGGGCGGUAGCGCUGCCGUGUCUGACAGCCCAGGUCAUGGACUUAUGUGAAACAUUGUCCAGUUAAGGCAGUCUUGACUCAUUGUUUCCAGCUGCUACUCAACCUGAGGUAUUUCCUGAGAGUCACAGAGAGGACUAUUUUUUUUUAUGAAGAGCUAUCUGAUGCCUGUAUCUACCGGCUACUGGAUAGAAAAUACAUAUAAAGCGGACAAAUAUUCCAAAAUCACAACGGCAGAACAGUUAACUGAAAACAUUACCGAAGGUCAGCCACAAUAUUUAUGUGAGAAUCCACAGCUUCCAUGCACAAAGCUGGAUGUGGUAAAGAUGCACCGUGUUGAGCACCUCAAAAAGAAAAAGACAGUUUCAAAAGGUUGCCACUGAGCCUGGCAGAAGGCACCAACAGCCCGAGUCACUGAGGGCACAAAGAUUUUUGGGAGGGUUUAAUCUACUGAAUGGCCUUUAUAAAAUGUCUGAAGACAGCUAUGCUCAGAACCAUCUUUGGCUCUCCAAAGAUCUAUUGUAGGGAGAAAUGUUAAAAUACCACACAUUGUUUGUUUGUUGGGAAACUGGGUCAUAAAACACCCUAUUGUAAAGACAGUGAGCAAAAUGGAAAAUGAAAUGUGGCCUAAGACCCUUCACUAGCAGUAUUCUGUAUUUUGGCCAAGAAUUAUGGCAUACAACAACAGAAACAGAGUUGUAAUGGCUGCCUACAGUAAUUAUGGAGACACUUUCACUACAUGCCAUAAUACCAAGCAGUGAUUUAUGCAGAGACAGGAUUAGCACUCUAGAUUUUUCGACUCCUUUUUAAGUAACAUACUUUAUAGCAUAAGACCAUUGCCUUCUGCAAAACCUAUUUUUUAAGACGAUGUUUCCAUGACACAUCCCCUACUCUUCUUGCCUCUUCCUGUCUUACCUUCCCUGAUUAAUUUCCGAUUAGUAUCUGCAUCAGAGGUUACUGGGCAAAUUUUCGCAAGAUCAGAGUAUUUCCAAGCUGUAUCAUCAGCAUAUUUUAGCUGCAAAUGCUCUUUGCUAAGUCCUUGGAAGAUUAUGUAUUUGAGAGUAAUCCUGCAAUGGCAGAGUGGCAGUCUUAAAGGCACUGUGCUGGGAAAAGCAGCAGAACGAGACUGUCAAAGAAUUAGCCCAAAAGCUUGUUCCAUGAAUUUUUAUUUCCUCGACAUUUCAGAGUAUUUGGCUUUAUUCAUUAAUCUCAACUAGUUUACUGAUUUCUCUAGCUCAAAUAUCUUCAAGUAAUUUUUUUUUUUGUAAUAAAAUUGUGAUAGUGCAAUUCUGUUGAUCCUCUUCUUAGGGCUUUCCCUUUACUUCAGUCCAGAAUGCCUCCCAGGAAUUUGUUCAUAAAAGAGAUCUUCAUAAAGUACUGUAAUAUUUUUCAUGUUUACACCUGUGAUCCAGAUCUAUUUAUUUUCCUGCUGAAACAAUGUAGAAGAAGGGAAAACAAAUGUGCCAUAUAUGCUGUUUUGGAGAUGUGACCUUUUUCAGUCUACCAGAAUUCUUUCUUCCAGUAUACAUUCCCACACUGCCUUCAAACCUCACUUGAAGCUAAGGGUUUUCCAACAACUACGUGAUAUGAAUAAUGCGUUUGUCAGAUGUGGUUUACUUUGUCCCCUUUCCUCCAAAGAGCUGCAUAGGCAGUUCAAGUUGUGGAGGGGUGGGGAAAGAUCUGUUUCUAAUGCAGUUGUAUUAGAGAAGGCAAAGUUCAAAGAGUGGAUCUUGCACUUACCUCAAAGGUAUCAAGUUUUACAAGGGCCCUCAGUUCCUUUCCACCCGCCCCCCCCACCAAGAUCUGAGAAUAAGCUCCCAGACUUGAAGAAUCACAAUACCUCGAGAGCUACAUGGCACUGUUUGUUUCACUGCUAUUAAUCCUGCAUGGAUUGCACAGCCUGUUCUGCAAAAACUACAGACAACGCUACUGUACCAGACCUGCUUUUAUUGAUGCUCUAAAACACAAAAGCUCAAAAAAAGCUUACUCAAGAGAAUUUUGCACACUGUUAGGUGCAGGUCUGCAGUUCUGCAGACAGAAGAUAGAAAUGUGUCAAGAAGAAUGUCAAAGACUCAUCCCUCAAGAGCACUCGUUUGUUUUUGGAAUUUUCAUCCGUACUGAGCAUCCCCUCCUAGCAAGCUAUUUUAGGAGUGUUUCAAGUUUGGUUCAGGUGUGUUCAUCCCCUGACAGCAGUGCAAGAACUUUUAAGUAGCUACUGUGAGAUCAGACUGCCUUUUGACCUGGUUAAUAAAUGUUUACAAGUCUCAUUUCUAGAUAAGGAAAGCAAAGUCAAGGCAGAUUUUGUAUGUCAUCCUCAGCUGCUAGAAUUUACAGCUCCGCAUUAAGGAAAUCACAGUCAAAUAACAUGCUUCCGUCAGUAUCUGGACAGGGUCAGGAGGAUUUGUUCCCCAGUGUACAAUUAGCCAGAUGUAUUUUGUUUGUAUAGCAGCAGAAAAACAAGCCAAAUUUGGUAGGCUAUCUGGAAACAAACAUCAUCCAGGGCAGAUCUGGACUCCAAGCUAAUAAGAAAAACCCAUUUUCUGGAACAUGUAGCUUGUGUCUUGCUUAUGUGCUUGGUGUCAAACUGACCACCAAACCUGGGGUCAGGAAGGAAUUCUACAGUUUAGGGGAAGCCACUACUUCCUAGAGAAUAGCAAUCCUCGAGGAACACGGAGCUCCUAAUAGAUUUCCCAUAACUGCAGGCAAUCUGAGUAACAAUACUGUCUCGUCUGUUGUGGCACACUGUUCUAGAGACUUAAAUACUCUGGUGAGAGUUUUAUCUGAAAGUGCAGUAUACUCAGUAGAAGCGUGAAAUUUAACCACUUGCUGUUAUCAGGGAGAUGUCACUAGAAGAGCCUUUCUGGUUCCCCUCGGCUGUGAAAUGACAGGUUCUGCAGGUGAAGAACCUGGCCCCAGCGGAAUCACAGCAAAACCUUCACCAGGGCACAACUUCACACAGAAGUUCAUCACAAAGUUAUAGGAAAUUGAUAAACACUAUAAUUUUGAAGAGUCAGUCUGGUAAUUCAGAGCCUGAUUGCACAAGAGACUGUGAAAGCAAAUGAAAACAGCAAGACACUGUUUAUGUGCUGCUGGACAUUUUUCAAGUUUUCAUUCCCUUCUGAAAGAGCUUAGAGUAAGUUACAUUACUCCCAAUUAAAAAUUGGUUUUGAUUACGGGAGCACAGAAAUUGCAACCAAAAACCUUUAUAUUCUAGGCAGUUUUGCAUUUCAAAAACUUUAAAAGCCGCUGGUGUUUUUUUCUUCAUUGCUGUUUGCAGAGGGGAGGCGACAGCAGCGCCAGGAGUUUGGGUGCUGUUUGGGGGCGGCGGGGAGGCAGCUCUUUGUUCCUUCACUUCAGCCAGCCCAAGUUCCGAGGCGAAGUUCCCCGAAGCACACAAGCACCAGGCUCUGCGAACACG